UGUUGGAAAUGGGUAUUAUGUAUGCAUUGAUCAUGUAAUUAGAGACUAGAGUUAUAGUUGAGGAAGGUUAGAGAACACAAACAAUCUUCAAUAAAGAGGCAUCUAAUCAUAGAGUGGUCACCUGUGGAGCCCAAAGCCUAAGCAUCUCGGAUCAAAAUUGUUGUUCAUCAUAGCAGAAUGGACACAAAUCAAGCCCGAUAUCUUAUCUUGUGAGAGGAGAGGAGCAUCUCAUGUAUGAUCUCCCUUUUCUCAGCCAGAGAGACCACUUGUGUUUUGCAUAUCAUUGCCUUCACAGUAGGCCAAAAGCGAUCAAUCAUGAAAUUACCAGCUUGUUUGUUGAUUGCCUGAGAAACUUCCAGAUGGUUAGAGUUGUACCUGUUGAUCAUCCCAUCCACUCAUACAGUUCAUGAAGAAUGAUUCAGUCUUAUAAAAUGUGUCAAGAGCAUCUUGAUAAAUGAUAAUUCUUCUUUCCAUCAUCUGAAUAACAAGUCACAACUUCUCUUCACCUCAGUUUCCUAUCAGGUCACAACAAAUGUCACUCCCUCUUUUUCCUCUGCACCUUCUUCCUCAAUGUCAACAUCACUGUGUUCAUGUCAAGAAGGCGAUUCUCACAACCACUUGUUGCUGAUGUUAAUGUGUUGGGGCUGCCUGCAUGCUUCCAAUGUAACAGUGUGUGCGUGUGUGGAAGAUAAAUGAAAGGGAAUUGGAAAAAAGAACUCAGUUAAGAUAUCCUAUAAUUAAUAAGGAACCAUGAAAGGGGAGACAUAGUUGAGCAUGGGCUUUGGUUGGCUAGAUGGUGCUUAGUUGUAAAAACUGGCGACUUCUUCCAGGCCGUCCAGCAAACAAGAAACAAAAGCAGUAACAUGUUUUCUUGUAAUAGGCUCAUAAGUUAGGAGGAAUACUUAGAAAUAUUAAGAUACUUAGAAAUAUUAAGAUAGUAGUUAAUACUUUUAGACAGCAAAACUGACAAAUAGAGCUAGUAAAAGAGAACAUGGCUCCGAUAUAACGGAAGCCAUUUUAGAGUAUCAGUGCUUCCUACAAUCUUCAAAGGAGGCAUUUUUUUAUAGAUAAAUAAAUGCAUGUGAUCACCUAGUCUUCUCCUUUGGAGCCCAAAGCCUAAGCAUCUCGGAUCAAAAUUGUUGUUGUUGAACAUAGCAGGUCGACAAGGUAAUGUACUAACACAUCUUACUCCCAACUUCAAAAUUUUACUACACUUUGCUUUUAUUUUAGUUACUUGAAAAAGAAAAAAAAAAUCUUCAAAAUUUUAAGUUGUUGUAUGUAAGAGAACAAAAAAGAGGGGUUUGAAUCUGUAAGAACACCGUGAGACCAUCCAGGUCAGAUAUAACUGACCCGGAACAAUCCUCUACAGCACAGAGAUGAUGUCUCAACUAGAGAACCAUCCUAGCCGUUAAUCACGCUCUGAUCACACGGUCAUAGUUCAUCAUCCAGAUUUUUGUUCCUGUCUCCUUAGAAAUCAAGGACACAGUAAUACGAUCCUAUAGAACAGAUCCUGUUCAAGUAAGGUCGUGUCUAUUGCUCUUCGUGCUAGUUAUAUAAACACUUGAUUUUGGUCGAGUCUUAGCAAUGUGGGACUAAAACUUUGUUCAAGUAAGUUAGAACUAUGCUUCUGUUCAAGUAAGUUAGAACCAUGUUUAAAUUGUUUUAGUAUUGAAUAGUAAUAACUGAGGGGCAAGGCAAGGCACCUUAUCUAGAAUUCAGGACUUGUGGCAGUCGAAAAUCAUUUUAGAGAUGCGCUUCUAUAUGCAGUGUAGAUCAAGAUUCAGUCAUUCCAUUGAUAGGGUCACAGUCUUUAGUAAACAAAUUAGCCAAGGAACUUAUAAAAUGUUUCAAUGAUAAGUCUUGUUUCUAUCAUCUGAAUCACAACUUCCCUUCUCCUCAGUUCCCUCAUUUGAGUACUCAUAUUUUGUUAACUUUUUUGUCCUAAGAUGCAACAUUUUUUGUGUUGGAAAGAGUCCUUUCUAAGGUACAAUUUCUUAUCUGUGCUUUGUUUCAAUGAUGUUGUGGACGUUUUAAUCAAGUUGGUUUUCUUUCCGACACUUUCAGCUUGAGAACAUCGCUCUUUACCUGAUAGCAGGUAAGUAUUUGCUCGCUAGCUUUUAUGUACAAUGCCAGUGUGGAUAGGUCUGCAUUUGAUGUCAAAAUAUGGAACCUCUUGUAAGGACUAUAAGAUGAGACGACACAGAAGAGGAAAAUCAGAAACUUUGUGUGCUCAAUACAUAAAUACGGAGGAACUGAGGGUAACAAUUGGCACUUGGAAUGUUGCUGGAAUAGUUCCAUGUAAUGAUCUUGAAAUUGAGGGUUGGCUUUGUAUCCAAGAACCAUCAGAUCAUUAUUGGGACAAGUGUUUCCUAUCAGGUCACAACAAAUGCCCCUCCAUCUUUUUCCUCCGCACCUUCUUCCUCAAUGUCAAAUAGCAUGUGUGUUCGGCAUAUCUCAGAAAACCUUGCUUACCUCAAAUCAAUGACUUGGAGUCUUAGCGAAUCGUGGCUCAUCCCUUGGAGAGAGUGCCUAUAAUAAGCGUUAAGUUGCACGAUUAGAGCAAGUCUCCAUUAGGCGAAACAGAGGUUAAGUUUCAGCUUACAAGGGAUACAUACACUUGAGAGGCUAUACUGAGAUCCAUGACAUACAUACGUCAGUGAACAACUAAAUGCUGAGAAUAUAAGAAAGGCUUUGGAGGACAUGAUAUUGACUGAAGUGGUCCUUGCAACAUUUCUAUUACUCUACUCAUUGAUGGCCUAUCUGAUGGAUUUGUUUGAAUGCACCAUAGACUUACCAUGGUAAUC